AACGAACGCUGGCGGCAGGCCUAACACAUGCAAGUCGAGCGCGCCCUUCGGGGUGUGCGGCGGACGGGUGAGUAACGCGUGGGAACGUGCCCUUCUCUGCGGAAUAGCCUCGGGAAACUGAGAGUAAUACCGCAUACGCCCUUUGGGGGAAAGAUUUAUCGGAGAAGGAUCGGCCCGCGUUGGAUUAGGUAGUUGGUGGGGUAAUGGCCCACCAAGCCGACGAUCCAUAGCUGGUUUGAGAGGAUGAUCAGCCACACUGGGACUGAGACACGGCCCAGCCUCCUACGGGAGGCAGCAGUGGGGAAUCUUAGACAAUGGGGGCAACCCUGAUCUAGCCAUGCCGCGUGAGUGAUGAAGGCCUUAGGGUUGUAAAGCUCUUUCAGCUGGGAAGAUAAUGACGGUACCAGCAGAAGAAGCCCCGGCUAACUCCGUG
rnacentral:rRNA from 1 species